rnacentral:lncRNA from 1 species
CAAAGAGAAAGAUAAGGAAACCAAGGAAAGUACCAACCAAACUAAUUAGGAAACCAAUCCACCAACCUUUAUUAGUGCUAACCCAAACAACGACAGUGACUCCAAUUGCUGAACCUGACACUGAGCUAAGCAACAGCCAAUUGAAGUAUCUUCCAAGAGCCUUGGCCUCAUUCUGCUAACCCAAACAACAACAGUGACUCCAAUUGCUGAACCUGACACUGAGCUAAGCAACAGCCAAUUGAAGUAUCUUCCAACAGCAUUGGCCUCAUUUGGAUCAAACUGGUCAGCACCUAAUGCUGGAAGUGCUCCCCUUACCCCACCAGUCCCCAAUGCUAAUAAGCAAAGUGAACCAUAGAAUAAUAAUCCUAUCCCACCUUCUAAACAAUUUGACUUGCCACAUACUUGUGGUUGCAAACUUGAGCAACGAGCUUGAAUUGUCAUCAAUGUCCAUGCCUACAUACGAAGAAACUAAUAUUUUGACGGCUCGUUUGUUAUAAAAAAAAUUAUAUUAAUAUACUGACCGUCAGGCUGUUGAAAAUUUGACGCUAAUAUUAUAUUUACAGAUGGAAAAAUUUCAACCCAUCGCGCACUGAUCGUUCCAUACAUCGAGGAGGGUCAUAUAUACAACGACGGAGCCAGAAUUUUUAUUAAAGGGUAUCAAAAUAUAUAAAAAUAAACAUAAGAGAAGUCAACACAUAGUAGUAUAUAUGUAUACUAUAAAUUAAUCAUUAUGGAGAAAACUAAUGACUUACAAGUAUUUCAGCUGUUCCGAAUAUGAGAAUGGUAUGGAAUCUGCUGAGGUAAGUAUCAGAAAUAAAACCACCAAUAAUGGAGAGCAAGUACGUUGAGCCCAAUAAGUUAGUGACAGUGUUGGCUGAGCCGCUGAGGUCCAAAUGCAUUUUGAAUGAGAAGUAUAAUACCAUACUCACCAUGUUUGCUACAAAUCCAAUGUUAUCUAAUCCCACAAAACCUACAAAGUAAUAAUUACGACGAAAUA